rnacentral:rRNA from 2 species
UACAGAGGGUGCGAGCGUUGUCCGGAAUCACUGGGCGUAAAGGGCGCGUAGGUGGCUGGGUAAGUGUGCGGUGAAAGCCCGGGGCUCAACCCCGGGUCGGCCGUGCAGACUGCUUGGCUUGAGCAUAGUAGAGGCAGGUGGAAUUCCGGGUGUAGCGGUGGAAUGCGUAGAGAUCCGGAAGAACACCGGUGGCGAAGGCGGCCUGCUGGGCUAUUGCUGACACUGAGGCGCGACAGCGUGGGGAGCAAACAGG